rnacentral:rRNA from 1 species
GACAGAGGAUGCAAGCGUUAUCCGGAAUGAUUGGGCGUAAAGCGUCUGUAGGUGGCUUUUUAAGUCCGCCGUCAAAUCCCAGGGCUUCAACCCUGGACAGGCGGUGGAAACUACCAAGCUGGAGUACGGUAAGGGGCAGAGGGAAUUUCCGGUGGAGCGGGUGAAAUGACGUAGAGAUCGGAAAGAACACCAACGGCGAAAGCACUCUGCUGGGCCGACACUGACACUGAGAGACGAAGCUAGGGGAGCGAAUGGGA